UUAGGUAGACAUGACUAAAUGUAUGUGCAGAGUUUGAUUUAAUUCUAUUAUGUGAAACUCUAUAAAAAAAAGCAGAAAUACCAACUUAAAAUUGCCAAAAAUGUGCAAAAAUACCCCUUGGGUAUGAUUACAAGUGUUCUUUUUUUCACAGAAUCAUUUUCUUUUGAUUUCUCUGAGCAUGUUUCAAAAAGGUAUUUUGUUUUCCGUUAUAAAAAUGCUAGGAUAUCAAAAUGUAUGCCGGUUAUUGUAGUUUACUGAAAUAUAUUUUAGGAGUAUAGAAAUUUUGAAAAAUGUUAAAAAUAGCAUCAUAUCUAGAUGCAAAUCAGCUUGAAACAAAGCUGGUGACCUAGUAUUUUUAUUUCAUUUUUCAAUACAUCAUAACAUGAUCUUGUAAUACAUAUUUCAUCAAAAUAUAUUAUUGGGAAAAAAAUUACGAAACUGUAGCGAGCGUCCUUGAUUAUUUUUCUUGUGUCAGUAAGCUCCUAAAUUACAGCUGAUGAGUAGAAUCAAGAUGUCGGAAGAAAUCAGGAUGCCUUAUAUAUCACCAUUUAUACAUGUAUAUAUAUAUAUAUAUAUAUAUAUAUAUAUAUAUAUAUAUAUAGACAGCAAGACAGCACUUAUGUUUUCAUCUACCACAUGCAUAGAAUAAUCUUAUUUUCAUAUUAUGUUUGCUUUUAAGUGAAUUGAAAGGAAUGAAGUUAAUGUUCAGUUAUUCUUCUUUUUGUUUAAUUUCAUUCCAUAUCGUCACUCAACUCAUCCUAAGUUCUAUACAUCUGGAUAAGAAUAUAGUGUAAAGAAUUUUAUUAAACACUGAUUUUUCAAAAUAUCAGAAUAUACUAAGAAAAUCAGAGAAUAAAAUAUAGUCACAGGUUUCAUUUUUUUUUUUUUUUUUUUUUGUUAUACUGAUUUGAAAAAUUCGGAUCACCACAAGUUUCUUCAUGUGAAGAUAUGGAGAAAAUCUAAAUUAAGAUGACGUUUACAUAAGUUAGACUUUAGUGAAACAGUUGUAAAUCUAUGUAUUGUUUAUUAUAUAGUCGUUUCUACCAUGGCUAGAUUUGAUUGCUAGUUAAACAAAGAAGAUCAAGCUAUGUAUAUUCUGCGAUAAACAACGAUUGAUGUGUGGACAGGUAAGGGAGUAUUAUGAGAUAAAUUAAAACGUCAUAUCGCCGCAUGACGUCCGGUUCAAGUCGAGUAUAAUUGUUAUCAAAAUAGUUUAAAGAGCAUGUAAAGAUAAAAACAAUCAAGCCCUUUAUGUGGUUUAUCGUCUCCAGCAAACUUUAAGCGGGAUUGAAGGCAUUAUUUGGAAUUAUUUCACGUGUAAAUGUUUUUCUAAUCAUUUGUUAUCUUUAGAAAGAAAGUCAUUUUGCUGUUCCUUUGUAAAUAUAUACAUGAGGUAACAGUUAUACGCAGAAAGACUUUUCUGUUUGUACAUAACGUCCAGGCUUAAUUCUAUGUUGCUAGGACAAAUGGCGUUACGGCAGAACUUCCAAUUUAUUAAACGUGCAGAACUACACUACCUGUAGAAAGAGCAUUUUCGUUCAUACUUCUUGGACAGUGUGUCAGGAAUGACACUUGUAGAAGCAAACUAUAUCUUAUUUCUCUGCACCUGCAACUGAUCAGCUCUGUGAUAUGAUUCAAUAACAGCGUGUUAUAUUAUAUCUCGGUUUGUUUUUGGUUGUUUUAAUGAAGUUUAUGGGUAAACCUUUUUCUAUAUUAUUUUGCUCACCUGUCUCAACGAGACUUUCGUCUCAUAGUAGAAUCUAGCUACCAGGAGAAUGCAUGACCUCCUGUUUGCCAUCAGUGUACGCGAGUAUGUGCGCCAUAUCUUCAUCUGCAAUUUAGACAGAAAUAACACCAUUUUGCAAAUGUGGUCAUUAAAAAGACACAUAAACAAUCUUUUAAAAGGGCUUAACUACACCUUAGUAAAGUUAAUUCUUAUAACUGUUUCCGUUAGACAUUUUACGCAAUAGGCUUUCAUUACCAGGCAGUGAUCUCUGCUGGAAAAAUGAACAAAUAACUAUUCUGUUAACUUACUCGUGUUUUUUUUUUGUUGUUGUAUUAAUCAUGCUAUGUAUGUUAUAGUCAUACUCUUCAAAUGGGAAGACAAUUUAGGAAGUAUAAAUGUUUGAUAGAUAUAACACCUUUAGAUUAUAUUGUACAUACUUAUUUAUUAUACAUUUAAUUUGAGGAGCAGAUGCCAGAAAUGAUCAGGAAGUCGUGUGUGUCAGCAUAGUGCAUGUUGUAUAUAUUCAGUUACGCAGGUAAAGAAACCUAAUUCAGGAGCAUUUACAUAUUAAUACAAACCUGCCUUACGGUGGCUGACUGGAAUCUAGAUGCUUUGUGGAAUCAGAACUUUGUGCAAUCAGAACGCCUUGUUCUUCAACACUAUUCGACUGUGCAAUUUAUAACACAAUGGUAGUUGUCGUCGCUUCUAUGAUUCAGUUCCAAGUUCUUUGUUUGACCGCCUAAACCAUUAAGUCAUUUGUUGCAAGAGUUGUGAAGUAUGACCUAAAACUAAAAAUUGUAUUGUUCCAGAUGUUCUAUUGGUCUGUUUUCAUGCGAGUCACACAAUCUUCAGUAAAGAAAAACAAAUUGGUUAUUUGAAACGCAGUUCCAUUAAAAUACAGGGGGUGUAAGCGAGCAGUUAAUACCGCUGACUUUGAAUCACUUGCCCAAUAUUAAUCUGGUAUGGGGUGUCGAAUUCUGCAUGUAGCAUAUUUCUGUCCAGUUGCCCGCCCGCCCAUGCAUGAUACAUUGCCUGGAGGAAUACCUCGGGUCCUCCACCACCUUCAAAAGCCAUAUGACAUUAACAGUGUCGGUAUUACUUUACACCCAACAAGAAGCAACAAAAAAGCAUUCAAUGUCGAAGUAAUACACUUGUUUGUUUUGAACUGAACAUUUCAUGCAUUUUUGCUUUUAUGAAUCAAACUAAAAGAGUAUUAUAUUGUCUUUCAUAGUAUUUAUGAUAUGUUUAAUUGAAUCUAAGCUGUAAUAAAACAGAAAAAAGUACAACGAUGACUACUUAAUCCUGAUUCAUUCUUUGUCUCAUAUUUGUAUUUAUUGUUACAUAUUCCUUGAAUAAGAGUUAUCGGGUUUUUUUGUCACAUUUUCUUCCGAAAAUAUCAAUGUAAUUCAAUAAUGAAACAGCUAUGGAGAUACUGUCACGGUUGUUUGCCUGUAUUUUACAUCAGAUUAAUGACACCUGUAUAUGUGAUGUACGUUCAGGAAAUAUGGCCAUGACUUGUAGGUCAAUGUACUUUUGAACACUUGCUUUGACCUAUUUCGAUACAUGCUUUCUUACAAGAUCGAUUUCAAUGUAUGUAGUAGUAAUAAUUUCCGAUUUCAUGGUCGGUGAAUUGAUGAUGUUCUGUUAAAUCAGUGAAAAUUAAUUUCAAAUACAUGGCCAUCAAAUCGUUAGAGAAAUAAGCGGUUCACAUAAAUAUUGUAAAUUCAAGUUUCAAAACACGAACUUUGGAAGUCUUUACAUGUUAAACUUUAUUUCAUU
rnacentral:lncRNA from 1 species